rnacentral:rRNA from 1 species
UACGGAGGGAGCUAGCGUUGUUCGGAAUUACUGGGCGUAAAGCGCACGUAGGCGGCUAUUCAAGUCGGGGGUGAAAGCCCGGGGCUCAACCCCGGAACUGCCCUCGAAACUAGGUAGCUAGAAUCUUGGAGAGGCGAGUGGAAUUCCGAGUGUAGAGGUGAAAUUCGUAGAUAUUCGGAAGAACACCAGUGGCGAAGGCGACUCGCUGGACAAGUAUUGACGCUGAGGUGCGAAAGCGUGGGGAGCAAAGCAGGG